rnacentral:rRNA from 1 species
CAGUAACGGCGAGUGAACAGGGAACAAGCUCAAAGUUGGAAUCUAUCUGGCUUAGCCAGAUCGAAUUGUAAACUUUAGAGUCGUUGUCCAGACCAGCCGAGUAAAUAAGUUCCUUGGAAUAGGACAUCAUGGAGGGUGAGAAUCCCGUCUUUGGCUUGAGCAUUGGUCUUUUGUGAUGCGACUUCAACGAGUCAGGUUGUUUGGGAAUGCAGCCUUAAUUGGGUGGUAAAUCUCACCUAAAGCUAAAUAUUGGCGAGAGACCGAUAGCGAACAAGUACCGUGAGGGAAAGAUGAAAAGAACUUUGAAAAGAGAGUUAAACAGUAUGUGAAAUUGCUAAAAGGGAACCGUUUGAAGUCAGUCUGGCUGGUCUGCAAUCAGCUUCAACUUUGGUUGGAGUGCACUUGUAGGCCAUUUUGCCUGCCAACAACAGUUUGUUCUGCAGCAAAAAGGUGUUGAGAAUGUAGCUUUCUCUUCGGAGGAAGUGUUAUAGCUCUUCGCGAAAUACUGUGGUUCAGACUGAGGCUUGCAGUGAAUGCUAUUUUGGCUUUGGGGAUGGAUUGCUCAGUGCUUUGCUUGGUUAGUUUCGGCCGUCAAACGUCGUGCUGGCUAAAUAAAGUCUGACUCGGUUCAUUCACUUUUAAUUCACUUUGGUUGU